GGUGGUCGCUGCUCUCGCCGCCGCCGCCCCGGUCCCGCUUCUCCCGGCCGCCGCCGGCCCGCUGCCCCUCGCCGGAGUCCAGGCUGCUGAAAUUCCACACCACCAGGGUCUGCAGGAGCAGCACGAGGGAUUAUCUUCUGACUCUUCAUUUAACAGCAACAGGAUUUUUCUGUGCCUUCGCUGCUUGCCUCAAGAUCUUCCUUGGAAGCUCCAUAUUACCAGUGAGAUUUUUAACAGAAGCGCCUUUACUCUCAGUCUUAUAAAUCCCUUCAGAUUAACUGUGGCUCAGCUGCUUCCCUGCCCCCAGGAAGUCUCACAUAGCCUCUUAAGGACAUUUUCCUUUUUUUCUUCUUCAUUUCAGCUCCCAAAGAUGCUACUCAUUUUAAUUUUAUUUUAUCCAGUACCCAGCCACAGCUCUGCAUGCAACUGCAUAGAAGGAAAUAUCUUCUUGUUAAUCUCUGGCUGACAAGCUCACCAGUGAAGGUCAUGAUAUGCAAUGAUAAAACCAUGGAAAGCCAGAAAACAUUUAGUAGUGUGUGAUGCUGCUUCUGUAUAAAAGGGACACUACAAAGUAAUUAUGCUCAAAAUUUGAUCCAUGGUACCUUAAAAUUGUUAUACGUAAUGGAGAAUGUCCUCUAGAUUUUAGGGGCUGAUUUUCUAAGCAUCGUGGGAAAACCAUGUAUAUUUCAUGACUAAUUUGUGCAUACAGUUAUUCUGACUCCAUGAGCAAAUCUGGUAAUGAUUCGCACUGGUCAUUUUUGUGUAUAGUUAUAAGAUUUGCAUGUAGGCCUACAGUAAUUUCAUGCGUAACAUAGGCCAGAGGUUCUCCAAAUAUGGAUUGGGACCCCAAAGUAGGUUGUGACCCUGUUUUAAUGGGGUUGCCAGGACUGUCAUUAGACUUGCUGGGGCCUGAGGCUGAAGCCAAAGUCUGAGCCCCACCACCCAGGACUGAAGCCAAAGCCUGAGGGCUUCAGUCCUGGGUAACAGGGCCCAGACUUCAGCCCUGGACACUGGGGCUCAGGUUACAGCCCUCCCCACCUCUCCUGCCCAGAGCUGAAGCCCUCAAGCUUCGGCUUUGCGUCCCAUCACCCCAUCCCCCAGCAUGGCAGGGCUUGGGACCCCCUGCCUGGGAUCAUGUAGUAUUUUUUGUUGUCAGGAGGGGGUAAUAGUGCAAUGAAGUUUGAGAAACCCUGACAUAGGCCACAGAUAUCAAUGGGUCUAAACACAUAGUGUGGGGCAGGAAUCAGCGUUCACAUCACACUCCCUGUCAGUACCCGGCCAAGGCCGGGAAAGCUAAUGAUCCAACCAGCGGAUCAAAUUCGGUGAUGAAUCCUGGUCACGUGCCAACGAAGGCACGUUGUGCAUAUGCAAGAACACAUAGUGAAGAGCCAUGCAUAGAGGGGAUCAUCAGCAUGUGUAUCUCUUCCCUCCUAUGAGGAAGGAGGCAGAGGAGGAGGAGUCCAGCUGCAUCUCUGACAACAUCCUCCCCUUCCUCUGCGUCCAUAGAAGGCUCUCUGCAAGUCCAGGGAGCAAGAAGGCAGUAGGCAUAGAUAGACCAACGAUGAGAUACAUAUCAUCCCUCCUAAUAGCUCCAGGAAGCACAGGGAAGAUGUACAAUCUCCUACCAUAGUAGGUGUGAGGCUGCGCCCCAUAUUCUUCAGUGUGAUAUUAUUAUGGUGUGAUUAUGGCAUAAUUCUGAUGUAUUUUAUGCAAGAUAAGUCAUGUGAGAUAUCAUUGGAAAGGUAUUUACUGAAAAUGACUAUCCUAUUUGUAUGCAUGUAUCUGAAGUUAGGAAUAUAGACUAUAUAUCUGUAUUACAAAUGUGUUUACACCUGAGGAAUGCCCACUAGGCAAAAGAUGCUCGGUCUAGAUGGCUGGGUAGGAAGGGCCCAUUCAAGUUAAUGAACCAUUCGGGAAAACAACAGGCCUUAGAAGAAGUUUAUCUCCCACCUCAAGUUUUCUUGAGGAUGCUACAAACGGCCUAUGAGCAAUGGCUACUGUGGCACUACAGGGACAUGUAACAAGGUCACUUGGUACUGGACUGCAUCUUGGAAUACCAAUGCUUUUCCAUUGACUGGCGUGGGAACCAAGCUUUGAGACAAAGGGUUCCCACCCUACGCAGAAGCUAUUUAAGCCAGGGGAGCAACAUCAUCGUGGUUCUUCACUGACUCCACACCCCGAAGAGACUCUUGGAAACACCUGAGGAACACGGACUGAACUGUGGGGGAAGUGCUGGACCCAGGCUAAAGAGAUUUUUAGCCUGUGAAAGGAACAUCUGGGGUUUUUAAGCUGUAAGCAAGUGCAGGUGGCCCCUUAAUCACUGCAGCCUGCUUGAAUCAUCAUUAAGGGUGAGAAUUCGCUACUCAUAUCCCAUUUCUUUAGUAUAUUAAUCUUAGUUAGCAUGUUUUGUUUGUUUGCUAGGUGAUCUGUUUGCUAUCUCUUAUAAUCACUUAAAAUCUAUCUUUUGUA